rnacentral:rRNA from 1 species
AGAACGAACGCUGGCGGCAGGCCUAAUACAUGCAAGUCGAACGCACUCUUCGGAGUGAGUGGCAGACGGGUGAGUAACGCGUGGGAACCUUCCCAAUGGUACGGAAUAACUCCGGGAAACCGGUGCUAAUACCGUAUAAGCCCCUCGGGGGGAAAGAUUUAUCGCCAUUGGAUGGGCCCGCGUCGGAUUAGCUAGUUGGUGAGGUAACGGCCCACCAAGGCUAUGACGGGUAGCUGGUCUGAGAGGACGACCAGUCACACUGGAACUGAGACACGGUCCAGACACCUACGGGUGGCAGCAGUCGAGAAUUUUUCUCAAUGGGGGCAACCCUGAAGGAGCGACGCCGCGUGGAGGAUGAAGGCUUUCGGGUUGUAAACUCCUGUCAUUUGAGAACAAGUGUAGCCAAGUAACUACUGGCUACUUGAUAGUAUCAGAAGAGGAAGGGACGGCUAACGUCUGUGCCAGCAGCCGC